UGCAGUCGAGCGGUAAGGCCCUUCGGGGUACACGAGCGGCGAACGGGUGAGUAACACGUGGGUGAUCUGCCUUGCACUCUGGGAUAAGCCUGGGAAACUGGGUCUAAUACCGGAUAUGAGCCUGGACUGCAUGGUCCGGGUUGGAAAGGUUUACUGGUGCGAGAUGGGCCCGCGGCCUAUCAGCUUGUUGGUGAGGUAACGGCUCACCAAGGCGACGACGGGUAGCCGACCUGAGAGGGUGACCGGCCACACUGGGACUGAGACACGGCCCAGACUCCUACGGGAGGCAGCAGUGGGGAAUAUUGCACAAUGGGCGCAAGCCUGAUGCAGCGACGCCGCGUGAGGGAUGACGGCCUUCGGGUUGUAAACCUCUUUUGACAGGGACGAAGCGCAAGUGACGGUACCUGUAGAAGAAGCACCGGCCAACUACGUGCCAGCAGCCGCGGUAAUACGUAGGGUGCGAGCGUUGUCCGGAAUUACUGGGCGUAAAGAGCUUGUAGGCGGUCUGUCGCGUCGAUUGUGAAAACUUGCAGCUCAACUGCAAGCUUGCAGUCGAUACGGGCAGACUAGAGUACUGCAGGGGAGACUGGAAUUCCUGGUGUAGCGGUGAAAUGCGCAGAUAUCAGGAGGAACACCGGUGGCGAAGGCGGGUCUCUGGGCAGUAACUGACGCUGAGAAGCGAAAGCGUGGGUAGCGAAACAGGAUUAGAUACCCUGGUAGUCCACGCCCGUAAACGGUGGGUACUAGGUGUGGGUUUCCUUUCCACGGGAUCCGUGCCGAGCUAACGCAUUAAGUACCCCGCCCUGGGAGUACGGCCGCAAGGCUAAAACUCAAAGGAAUUGACGGGGGCCCGCACAAGCGGCGGAGCAUGUGGAUUAAUUCGAUGCAACGCGAAGAACCUUACCUGGGUUUGACAUACACCGGAAAGCCAUAGAGAUAUGGCCCCCCUUGUGGUCGGUGUACAGGUGGUGCAUGGCUGUCGUCAGCUCGUGUCGUGAGAUGUUGGGUUAAGUCCCGCAACGAGCGCAACCCUUAUCUUAUGUUGCCAGCGCGUAAUGGCGGGGACUCGUGAGAGACUGCCGGGGUCAACUCGGAGGAAGGUGGGGACGACGUCAAGUCAUCAUGCCCCUUAUGUCCAGGGCUUCACACAUGCUACAAUGGCCGGUACAGAGGGCUGCGAUACCGUGAGGUGGAGCGAAUCCCUUAAAGCCGGUCUCAGUUCGGAUCGGGGUCUGCAACUCGACCCCGUGAAGUUGGAGUCGCUAGUAAUCGCAGAUCAGCAACGCUGCGGUGAAUACGUUCCCGGGCCUUGUACACACCGCCCGUCACGUCAUGAAAGUCGGUAACACCCGAAGCCGGUGGCCUAACCCUUG
rnacentral:rRNA from 1 species